CUUAACCCAUUCCCACUAGCCUCCUCAGGCCCCGCCCCCGAAAUACCCACAACCCCGCCUACCACCCUGACCCGCCACUCCCGCCUCCUGCAGGCCACGCCCUCACCUCGCCCUAUCCGGCCCCCAGCCUAUGCGGGGGUCUCAGGCGGGCAUUCCAAACAGGUGCGGGAGAGAGAGCCGCUAGCCGCCUCAGCAGCCAGCCGCCUCCAUCAGGCUUCCAGAGCGGCUGGACAGGCGUUCAGGACCACGGACAGGUCUCUGCACCGGGAAGUGCCAGAUUCCCUCUCGGCGAAGAGGGGAUCCAUUGGCAUGAGUGGCUGAAAUGCACAAGCUGAGAUGACCUCACAUUUGGUGUGUCAGAAUUUGCACUCUCAGGAAGCCAAGACAAGACAAUAUUAGAAAGUCAAGAGAGGUUUUCGUGCUAAGCUGAGAGUUGACAGCUCUGCUGUGCCAUGGAAUGAACUGCAGGCUCGAUUUUUGGAUACAGACUUCCUGCUAUGGUCAAAGCUAUUUGACUUGA